rnacentral:tRNA from 1 species
GGGGCUAUAGCUCAGUUGGUUAGAGUACUUGCUUGACAUGCAAGGGGUCACUAGUUCGAGCCUAGUUAGCCCCACCA